rnacentral:rRNA from 1 species
AGUAGAAUUGAAGUCCCUUUGCGAGUAUCGAUUGGAGGGAAAUUCUGGUGCCAGCAGCCGCUGCAAUUCUAGUUCCAAUCGGACAC